AAUUAAUGGACCUACUUCUCGGAAAUUCUGAAUUGUAGUGUACCGGUUACUUCAUAUCUGUUCGGUUUGCGCGGGUUGAAUACUUGAAUGUGGACACUGAUAUACACAGGAUCAAAUACUUGGCAUUCAACCUACAGCGAGACCUCUUCCUGGUGGAAUACUACAGUGAAUGGUCAAACCAGGAUAAUCUGCCAUGCAACUUUCUGGAGAAGCUUCUUGAGUGCAGGCUGAGUGAUUGUGAACGUUUAUGUCCUGCUACUACUCUUAGUAGUGUCACUGGAAUUCUCAUUGUCGACCAUACUCAUGGAAGAAGCAGUCAAAGAGGCAAAGCUUGUCAAACUAAGGGAAGCUCCAGACGGGUGGUGGAAGAAGCUAGUGAAUUAAUUAUGGCAUCUAUCUACGAGAAUACAAGCAAUGUAAUUGGACACAAAGUUCAAGCAAAAAGCCAGUCAAGAUAUGUUUUAUCAGUGAGUUUUAUUAUAACAAGAGACAGAUAACCAUGAUACAAGAAGCUAUUCCGAGGCAAAACCGAUGUCAACACCAGUGUAUUUCCAGUAGUUUACUUUCUGAAGGCCGUAGCAACUUUUUCUAAGUUCACAACAAUUAUUGGGUUAAAUCUGAGGAAAGUUGUGGCUAAAAAAGAUCCUGUGUUUGAGUGAAAAAGUACUUCUAGGCCCUCAAAACCUUGGGUUUAUCAUUGCCUUACCAGAGUCAUUUUACACUGAUACAGCUGGAGAACACAGUGCUUGUAUCAUACCGACGAAUAAUAAGAGUCGCAACACACGAAUCGUCGCCAACACGUAGUUGCUCCUUCACCUUGUAUAAUAAUAGUCCUAUCAGCACAACCAUUGACCAAACAGUCACAAUCACAGCAACAAAAGAUACCAACAUCAAUUUCACAAGUUUAAUUCAAAAAGCAGAGAAAUUCUGCAGCAAGAUAAAGCACAGUAAAGUCUAUUGUGAUCAAAAGCAGGGACUCUCUGGUUUCAGAUGAACAACAAGCAGAGCAGGCUACCCAUCUACAUAUAUGACAGCAUGAAUGAUGAGUCUGAUCAGCGCCCUCUAUGAUAGUAUCAGGAAUGCAGUUGAAACAUUGAAUAGUAACAGUAAAGAGUGCAUAUAGUGGUCCCAUGAUUUCCAAGUUUAAGGAUCAUAAUGAUUUCUACUGGUAUGUAAUAUGAAAGGAAUGGUCUUCGAUGGAGAUUGUGGAUACAGGAAACAAGAAGAACAAUUGAGACAGUGACCUCCUUCUGAGCAUCAAUAAUUGUUUGGGAACUGUACUCAUCUUUAUCAAAUUUGGACUCAAAGAAAUCGAAUUUUACUAUACAAGAGACAGUUGAGAUGCAUUUAUGCCACUAAAUCCACCUAGUAGCCCUCAGCAAGGCAGAAGCCCUAUUGGGUCAUACAGAGACUUAGCAGAGGAGCCAUGAUCACACCCGC